CGGUAAUGGCGACGGUGUUCCAAUUUGAGGCUUUUUGGGUCAGCCCAAGCAACAUCUUCUUGCAACUGGAUGGAGUGUGUAAGUGCAAAGAGGCUUGUUCCAGGUGAUUCGGUCCUUUUUCAUCUGGGAUGAAAGAAUCAGUUACUCCUGGGAAUCUGGCAUGCUAAUCAGCCAC